AACACUGUUAACCUGCGGUACCUGCGGAAGGAUCAUUGCUGGAACGCGCUUCGGCGCACCCAGAAACCCUUUGUGAACUUAUACCUAUUUGUUGCCUCGGCGUAGGCCGGCCUCUUCACUGAGGCCCCCUGGAAACAGGGAGCAGCCCGCCGGCGGCCAACUAAACUCUUGUUUCUGUAGUGAAUCUCUGAGUAAAAACAUAAAUGAAUCAAAACUUUCAGCAACGGAUCUCAGAUCGGA
rnacentral:misc_RNA from 1 species